GCCUGAGUGGUGAAACUGGUAGACGCGCCAGACUCAAAAUCUGGUAUCGAAAGAUGUGUCGGUUCGAGUCCGACCUCAGGCACCA
rnacentral:tRNA from 1 species